GAUGAUAAUUAAAGUCUGACCUGCCCACUGAUAUUAAUUAAAGGGCCGCAGUAUUUUGACUGUGCAAAGGUAGCAUAAUCAUUAGUCUUUUAAUUGAGGACUGGUAUGAAUGGUUUAACGAAAUAUUAACUGUCUCAUAAUAAUAAUAUAGAAUUUAACUUUUAAGUCAAAAGGCUUAAAUGUAAUUAGAGGACGAGAAGACCCUAUAGAGCUUGAUAUUUAUACUUUUAAAUUUUAUUUAGAUGUUUAUAAUUUUUAAAUUUAAAAAUAUUUUAUUGGGGUGAUAAAAAGAUAAAAAUAACUCUUUAAUUAUAUAAAACAUUAAUUUAUGAAUAAUUGAUCCAUUAAUAAUGAUUAUAAGAUUAAGUUACCUUAGGGAUAACAGCGUAAUGUUUUUUAAGAGUUCUUAUCAACAAAAAAGAUUGCGACCUCGAUGUUGGAUUAAGGUAAUACUUGGGUGUAGAAGUUCAAAUUUUAGGUCUGUUCGACCUUUAAAUCCUUACAUGAUCUGAGUU
rnacentral:rRNA from 1 species